GCCGUGAUCGUAUAGUGGUUAGUACUCUGCGUUGUGGUACGCACGGCACCCGGUUCGAACCGGUCACGGCA